rnacentral:misc_RNA from 1 species
GAUGAAGAACGUAGCGAAAUGCGAUAAGUAAUGUGAAUUGCAGAAUUCAGUGAAUCAUCGAAUCUUUGAACGCACAUUGCGCCCGUCAGUAUUCUGGCGGGCAUGCCUGUUCGAGCGUCAUUACGCCCCUCAAGUCCCCUGUGGACUUGGUGUUGGGGAUCGGCGAGGCUGGUUUUCCAGCACAGCCGUCCCUUAAAUUAAUUGGCGGUCUCGCCCUGGCCCUCCUCUGCGCAGUAGUAAAACACUCGCAACAGGAGCCCGGCGCGGUCCACUGCCGUAAAACCCCCCAACUUUUUAUAGUUGACCUCGAAUCAGGUAGGACUACCCGCUGAACUUAAGCAUAUCAAUAAGCGGAGGA